rnacentral:rRNA from 1 species
CCUACGGGAGGCAGCAGUGAGGAAUAUUGGUCAAUGGACGAGAGUCUGAACCAGCCAAGUAGCGUGAAGGAUGACGGCCCGAUGGGUUGUAAACUUCUUUUAUAAAGGAAUAAAACGAGGCACGUGUGCCUUUUUGCAUGUACUGUAUGAAUAAGGAUCGGCUAACGCCGUGCCAGCAGCCGCGGUAAUACGGAGGAUCCGAGCGUUAUCCGGAUUUAUUGGGUUUAAAGGGAGCGUAGAGGGGUUGUUAAGUCAGUUGUGAAAGUUUGCGGCUCAACCGGAAAAUUGCCAUUGAUACUGGCAGUCUUGCUUACAGUUGCGGUAGGCGGAAUUCGUUGUGUAGCGGU